AGAAUCAACGCUGGCGGCGUGCCUAACACAUGCAAGUCGCACGAGAAAGGGGAGCAAUCCCUGAGUACAGUGGCGCACGGGUGAGUAACACGUGAAUAAUCUACCUCCGAGUGGGGAAUAACUGAGAGAAAUCUUAGCUAAUACCGCAUAAUACCCACGGGUCAAAGCAGUAAUGCGCUUGGAGAGGAGUUCGCGGCAGAUUAGUUAGUUGGCGGGGUAAUGGCCCACCAAGACGAUGAUCUGUAUCCGGCCUGAGAGGGCGCACGGACACACUGGAACUGAAACACGGUCCAGACUCCUACGGGAGGCAGCAGUGGGGAAUUUUGCGCAAUGGGGGAAACCCUGACGCAGCAACGCCGCGGUGGAGGAUGAAGCCCCGUUGGGGUGUAAACUCCUUUCGAUCGGGAAGAUAAUGACGGUACCGAUAUAAGAGCCCCGGCUAACUUCGCGCCAGCAGCCGC
rnacentral:rRNA from 1 species